UUAAUGUUUGAUGUUCUAACGUUGACCCGUGAUCCGGGUUGCGGACAGUGUCUGGUGGGUAGUUUGACUGGGGCGGUCUCCUCCUAAAGAGUAACGGAGGAGCACGAAGGUUGGCUAAUCCUGGUCGGACAUCAGGAGGUUAGUGCAAUGGCAUAAGCCAGCUUGACUGCGAGCGUGACGGCGCGAGCAGGUGCGAAAGCAGGUCAUAGUGAUCCGGUGGUUCUGAAUGGAAGGGCCAUCGCUCAACGGAUAAAAGGUACUCCGGGGAUAACAGGCUGAUACCGCCCAAGAGUUCAUAUCGACGGCGGUGUUUGGCACCUCGAUGUCGGCUCAUCACAUCCUGGGGCUGAAGUAGGUCCCAAGGGUAUGGCUGUUCGCCAUUUAAAGUGGUACGCGAGCUGGGUUUAGAACGUCGUGAGACAGUUCGGUCCCUAUCUGCCGUGGGCGCUGGAGAACUGAGGGGGGCUGCUCCUAGUACGAGAGGACCGGAGUGGACGCAUCACUGGUGUUCGGGUUGUCAUGCCAAUGGCACUGCCCGGUAGCUAAAUGCGGAAGAGAUAAGUGCUGAAAGCAUCUAAGCACGAAACUUGCCCCGAGAUGAGUUCUCCCUGACUCCUUGAGAGUCCUGAAGGAACGUUGAAGACGACGACGUUGAUAGGCCGGGUGUGUAAGCGCAGCGAUGCGUUGAGCUAACCGGUACUAAUGAACCGUGAGG
rnacentral:rRNA from 1 species